CCAGAUCCUAAGAUUGUAAAUGAAAAUAAUCUUAUGGUCUCUGAGUACUUUAAUAUACCAGGCACUAAUCUGGACUCUCAAAGCUCAGAUAGCUUUGUCUCUUCUGAUACUGAAAAUCAGCUCAGUUCAGAUGUAUAUGAAAUCAGGAAUUAGCUAGUGGUCACAAAACCAAAUUUUUGCAAACUGACUUCCCAGAUGUAGAUGUCCAUAUGGAAAAUUUUCCAAGUGGAGUUGCUAAUUUCCACCAAUAUCCUAAGCGCGAUUCCCCUCCUAGCAGCGUAUCAACCAUUGACUCUCCAUCCGCUUUGCACACUGCAACCUCUCAGUCCUCUGAUACCC
rnacentral:lncRNA from 1 species